GCAAGGAUAAAAACGCAACGCACAUACGAUGUGCCAGAGCCGGUAGGUAGCCCGGCCGUCCCAUCGCUUUCGAUGGGGUAAGUAACCUGCCCCUCCGGGUUGUCCGUUCUUUGCUCAUAAA
rnacentral:ncRNA from 1 species